UACGGGGGGGGCAAGCGUUGUUCGGAAUUACUGGGCGUAAAGGGCUCGUAGGCGGCCAACUAAGUCAGACGUGAAAUCCCUCGGCUUAACCGGGGAACUGCAUCUGAUACUGGAUGGCUCGAGUUUGGGAGAGGGAUGCGGAAUUCCAGGUGUAGCGGUGAAAUGCGUAGAUAUCGGGAGGAACACCUGUGGCGAAAGCGGCUCACUGGACCACAACUGACGCCGAGGCGCGAAAGCUAGGGGAGCAAACAGG
rnacentral:rRNA from 1 species